UACAUGGCACAUGGUACCUAAGCCCAGUAACCGUGAGGGUCAGGAGGAAGCCAUUUCCUGGGAACGCCUGGAGUCUGGGACCACCGUGACCAUCCGUGACUGCACAGCUGACAAGACACAAGAAGAGAGGAGACAAGAAGUGACUUAGCUUCUUCUCCACUAAGAGAAGCCAACAGUGAAGAAGCAAUACUUGAGAAAACAUGGGGAGGUGGGAGGAAAUUGUUUCACUUUGCUUUUGUUUCUGACUAUCCGAACCUAUUUUGGAUCAAAUUAAAUUAAUUUUCCCCAGG
rnacentral:lncRNA from 1 species